CUGUCUUGAGGAAGACCCUGUGGAGGCAGCUACAGAGCAGGCUUCUUAGCACUGACAGUCCCCCAGCAUCUGGGCUGUACCAGGAGAUCCUGGCACAGCUGGUCCCGUUUGCACGAGCCAAGGAUCUCAGUGUACUCAUGGACCGCCUGCCCAGCUUGCUUCACACCCCAAGCAGUCACAAGAGUGGAUCGUGGCCGACUCCAUUUCAGCAGCUCUGGAAGGGUCAGCAGAAGAGCUGUGUGCCUGGAGAAGGACCCUUUUGGAGUCCUGUGUGAAGUGGCUGAUCGUGUCUUUCAGUGGUGGACAGCAAGAUGAUGAUAAUACUCAGAAUCAGGAGAAGGAAAUGCUGCUUAGAUUAAAUGCGUUGUUCAUGCACUUAAUGAAGUUGAUCCUGGUGACUGGCAGAAAUUCGUGAAGAAGGGACUCAAUUUCGGUACCAGGACCACACAUUUUUAAAGAUGCUCCUCACCGCCGUACAGCUCCUGUACAGCCCAGAAAGCUCCGUGCGCACGAAGCUCAUCCAGCUCCCGGUGGUCUACGUGAUGCUCAUGCAGCACUCGCUGUUUCUGCCGACUCUACUGACGUCUGACGGAGAGGAGAGCCCGGACAGCCAAGUAAAAAAGCGCUGGUGGACCUGAUGCUGACGGUGGUGGAGAUGUGCCCCUCUGUCUGUGAGAGCAGCCACUUUGCAGUGCUUCUCGGGGCCUAUGGCGCCACUCUCAG
rnacentral:lncRNA from 1 species